rnacentral:rRNA from 1 species
AGGGAGUUUGAUCAUGGCUCAGAUUGAACGCUGGCGGCAGGCUUAACACAUGCAAGUCGAGCGGUAACAUUUCUAGCUUGCUAGAAGAUGACGAGCGGCGGACGGGUGAGUAACGCGUAGGAAUCUACCAAGUAGUGGGGGAUAGCCCGGAGAAAUCCGGAUUAAUACCGCAUACGCCCUACGGGGGAAAGGAGGGGAUCUUCGGACCUUUCGCUAUUUGAUGAGCCUGCGUGAGAUUAGCUAGUUGGUGGGGUAAAGGCUCACCAAGGCGACGAUCUCUAGCUGGUUUGAGAGGAUGACCAGCCACACUGGGACUGAGACACGGCCCAGACUCCUACGGGAGGCAGCAGUGGGGAAUAUUGCACAAUGGGCGCAAGCCUGAUGCAGCCAUGCCGCGUGUGUGAAGAAGGCCUUCGGGUUGUAAAGCACUUUCAGCGAGGAGGAAAGGAAUGUGGUUAAUACCCACGUUCUGUGACGUUACUCGCAGAAGAAGCACCGGCUAACUCCGUGCCAGCAGCCGCGGUAAUACGGAGGGUGCGAGCGUUAAUCGGAAUUACUGGGCGUAAAGCG